rnacentral:rRNA from 1 species
GAUGAACGCUAGCGGCAGGCCUAAUACAUGCAAGUCGGACGGGAUUGAGGAGCUUGCUUCUCAUGAGAGUGGCGCACGGGUGCGUAACACGUAUGUAACCUACCUUUAUCUGGGGGAUAGCCUCUCGAAAGAGAGAUUAACACCGCAUAAAAUCAAAGAAUGGCAUCAUUCAAUGAUCAAAUAUUUAUAGGAUUAAGAUG